ACUUCCUUUGCUCUUAUGGACCAUUUGGGUGUGGAGUACUACCUUAGGUGUGAUGAUUAGAUUACCCUGUCUAGCAAGGGUUUCUUAACGUAUGCAAGGCUUGUUCCUGAUGAAGACUUAAUAAAAGGCAUGGCUAGUGCUGACGAAAAGAAAUUGUAGCGAAACGAAGUUGAUAGUCUGCUUUUGAACGGUGUAGCACUGGAUCAGAGUUCAUCUAUUGAAACCUUUACUCCAAAUGAUCAACUGAUGUACAGGAUUUUUGCACCGUGUUUUGUCCUGCAAAGUGUAUUCCUAAACAACAGAGUUGCUUUAAGAGAAUUAACACUGAAUCACAGAGGGGUGAAGCUGGAAGGCACUUCUGGCGGUCCAACCCCUGUUCUAGCAGAGUCAUCCAGAGCUUAUGAAGAACUCCAAGGAGGAGACUCUACAGCCUCUCUGGACAAUCUCUCUGUGCCAGUGUUCCAGCACCUGAACACAGAAUUGCUUCCUGAUCUUCAGGAAGAAUCUCCUGUGUCCCCGUUUGUGUCCAUUGUCACCUGUUCUGGCACUCUGCAGCACUGGAAAGAGCCCAACUCUGUCAUGUGUGCACUCUCCCUUUAGGUGUUUAUAGAAAUUGAUGAGAUCUCUCUCUGGAUAGGCAACAAAUUUAGAGAAUCUUUCAUUAAAGACAAUAUGAUUUUUAGCUAAUAAUUCCACACAAUGGGUUGUUUUGUUUUUUUUUUAAAGAAUGCUACUUUAUAAUAAAAAAAAAUCUUUAAUUAAAUAUUAAGAGGAGCAUGUUUCCUUCUCAGGAACAGUUUUUCACAUUUUCACUCCAUGCAAACAGUCACAGUACAAUAGUACUUCCCCAAAUAGGAUGACUCUUAAAUCCACAAUGGACUUGAAAAAUUGUUUACUUUUAUAACUAGCAUUUGUUAUAUGGGUAUUCACAUGAUGUGAUUUAUUUUUUUUUUCCUGUCAAAUUUAUCACAAAGUAAAUUUUGCUAACAUGAUUACUUACAGGAAAUGAAUAAAACACUUUAGAAAUGGAUGUAUUGCUUUUAUUGAAAUGAGUAUUUAUAAAUAUUUUUAUUAUAUUUACCCACUUAUUAUUCUUAGAACUCAAAAGAACUUUUUAGUCUGCAGCAGCUAUUAUAUGAAUGUGGAUGAUUAAAAUGAUGUGAUGAUUUGCAGCUAUGAUAUUAGUAAGCAUAACUAAUCAUUACUCAAAGUAAAGCUUGAUUUUUCUGAAAUAUUGCUUAUUUGUCUGAACCUCAGCUGGAACUUACACACUGCAAUUUUCCUCCCAAAUAAUUUGUUUGUGCUCAGUAUAAACAGCUCAUUAGGAGCCUCUGUCAGUGUACGUGAUUAGUUGAACCACAAACCUGAAGUCAGGCUAUGGUGUGGCAGACUGAUAACCUGCAUAUUUGUAUUCACACUGCUAGAUGUUCGAGUGCAGUGACAUCUCCUUGUGGGCAAGGCUGUGAUAUAUGUUCUCUGCACAGAAUUUACAAAGUUGAUAAAUCUAUGACUGGAGUUUUCUUCUCUAGAGUUCAGGCAUUGCAUACUUGCAUGCAAACAGUUGUUCAGUUUGAACUUGAGAGGAAUUCAAAU